AUGACGGCGAUGGCGGCGGCGCUCCUGCUACUGGCGGCGGCGCAGGCGCAGGCGCGGGCGGACCCGGCGUGCUACCCGCGGGUGUUCAGCUUCGGGGACUCGCUGGCGGACACGGGAAACUUGCUCUACCUCUACGGCAACGACUCCUACGAGGCCGCGACCAGGCUGCCCUACGGCGAGACCUACUUCCACAGAGCCACCGGCCGAUUCUCCAACGGCCGCCUCAUCGUCGACUUCAUCGCGGAGGCGCUGGGGUUGCCGUUCGUGCCGCCGUACCUGAGCGGGCGGAGCGCGGAGGACUUUGCCGGCGGGGCUAACUUCGCCGUGGGCGGCGCCACGGCUCUGAGCCCGGACUUCUUCUGGGAGAAUGGGGUGCCCGCGUUUCGGGCUGACACGGUGCACCUUGACAUGGAAAUGGGGUGGUUCCGCGACCUCCUCGGCCUGCUCUGCCCCGGCGACGUCGCCGAUUGCAUGGACAUGGUGAGCAAAUCUCUCUUCCUGGUUGGUGAAAUCGGGGGCAAUGAUUACAACCUACCUCUUUUCUAUGGGGUGCCCUUUGAGAAGAUUCACACCUUCACGCCAAGUAUCAUUGCCAAAAUCUCUUCUACUAUCGCCGAACUGGUUGAGCUAGGUGCCAAAACGUUGCUAGUUCCCGGCAACCUUCCAAUUGGGUGCAUCCCAGCCUACCUCACAACAUACAAGAGUGACAAGAUGGAAGAUUAUGAACCAGAGACGGGUUGCAUCCGUUGGAUGAACGAGUUCGCACAGUACCACAACAAACUUCUUGUGGAUGAGUUGGAAAAUUUGCGAAAGCUUCAUCAUGGUGUGGUGAUCAUCUAUGCUGAUUACUAUGGAGCUGCCAUGGAGAUCUUCUCUUCUCACGAACAAUUUGGGAUAGAGGAUCCUUUGAUGGCUUGUUGCGGUGGAGGAGGGCCAUACGGUGUGUCCGCAACUGCAGGAUGUGGGCAUGGAGACUACAAGGUAUGCGAUGACCCACAAAAAUAUGCAUCAUGGGAUGGCUUCCAUCCCACAGAAACUACAUACAAAGGCAUUGCCAAUGGCCUACUAAGAGGUUCAUAUACCCAGCCUCCAAUUUCCACCACCAGUUCAUGUCCACAAACUACUGAGCUUGCUUCUUCCCUUGAAUACAAGGUCCUUUACGACAUGUAA
rnacentral:rRNA from 1 species